rnacentral:rRNA from 1 species
GAUGAACGCUGGCGGCGUGCCUAAUACAUGCAAGUCGAGCGAACAGACGAGGAGCUUGCUUCUCUGACGUUAGCGGCGGACGGGUGAGUAACACGUGGAUAACCUACCUAUAAGACUGGGAUAACUUCGGGAAACCGGAGCUAAUACCGGAUAAUAUAUUGAACCGCAUGGUUCAAUAGUGAAAGACGGUUUUGCUGUCACUUAUAGAUGGAUCCGCGCCGCAUUAGCUAGUUGGUAAGGUAACGGCUUACCAAGGCAACGAUGCGUAGCCGACCUGAGAGGGUGAUCGGCCACACUGGAGCUGAGACACGGUCCAGACUCCUACGGGAGGCAGCAGUAGGGAAUCUUCCGCAAUGGGCGAAAGCCUGACGGAGCAACGCCGCGUGAGUGAUGAAGGUCUUCGGAUCGUAAAACUCUGUUAUUAGGGAAGAACAAAUGUGUAAGUAACUAUGCACGUCUUGACGGUACCUAAUCAGAAAGCCACGGCUAACUACGUG